rnacentral:rRNA from 1 species
GAUGAACGCUGGCGGCGUGCCUAAUACAUGCAAGUCGAGCGAAUGGAUUGAGAGCUUGCUCUUAUGAAGUUAGCGGCGGACGGGUGAGUAACACGUGGGUAACCUGCCCAUAAGACUGGGAUAACUCCGGGAAACCGGGGCUAAUACCGGAUAACAUUUUGAACCGCAUGGCUCGAAAUUGAAAGGCGGCUUCGGCUGUCACUUAUGGAUGGACCCGCGUCGCAUUAGCUAGUUGGUGAGGUAACGGCUCACCAAGGCAACGAUGCGUAGCCGACCUAGAGGGUGAUCGGCCACACUGGGACUGAGACACGGCCCAGACUCCUACGGGAGGCAGCAGUAGGGAAUCUUCCGCAAUGGACGAAAGUCUGACGGAGCAACGCCGCGUGAGUGAUGAAGGCUUUCGGGUCGUAAAACUCUGUUGUUAGGGAAGAACAAGUGCUAGUUGAAUAAGCUGGCACCUUGACGGUACCUAACCAGAAAGCCACGGCUAACUACGUGCCAGCCGCCGCGGUAA